rnacentral:lncRNA from 1 species
UCAUGUUCUUUCACAUGUUUUACCAAAGAAAUCAUUCGGUUCGAUCGAUCACAAGCCCCUAAUGCUGAAUAGCAAAGCGACUAAACAUGCAACAAAUCACCAAACUCCAAUUUAUUAUUACACACCAAAGGCGCACAAUAGUUUAACCAAAGAACGAUACUAAAAACUCAGCCUGAUAGGUGGAUCAUCAAAGGAGAAUCAACGUAUCCAAGAGCAAGGCCAACAUAGGAGCGAUGCACCACACAAGGGACAUAGCUAGUCGAGGAAAUUCGGCCGGUGAUCCUCAUAAGAACCCCCGGACGAUGCCACCCCCACGCUGCACGGUAGGCUUCACCUGCCACCUACUCCAUGAUUUUUGCUCCUAGCGUCAACACCCUUUGAUGUCCCUCCCUUUAUCUGCAAAAUUUCCCAAUUUGUUAGCCACUGACAUAUCAACCUGAUAAAAAUAAUUAGAACAUUUAUCAGCUUGUUUUUCCAAAAACAACAACUGUUUCUGCAUCUCCAAAUUGUCCAAAAGAUAGCAGCGACACUAACUAACACCUGUUUUUUAGUUACAUCAUGUUCAAUUUUUUUUAAUCUAGUCACUACAACACAAAAUCAGAUUGGUAGGAUUGAUCUCAAAUUUAAAGCAUAUUUAAGAAAACCCCACACUAGUUUAUCCACUGAACAUCUGAAGAAAAAGUUUUUAUUGUUCUCAUCUUGACCACAAAACACACGUUUUUUGGGAUCAUCUAGCCACUUUUCAAUAAAUUGUCUCUAGUUAAUAUGCCAUUUUUUACCAUCAACCAAAAAAAAGACUUUGAUUUUUGGCGGAAUUUUAUUUUUUCUUAAAAAAUUGUGGCAAACCACAAUAUUGAACAACAAGGUGUCUAUAAAGUGAUUUAACUUUAAAAAGACCAUUUGCAAUUAACACGCACUUAAUAGAAUCCUUGUUGCGAGACAUCACAUUCCAUCACAUCUCAUUUUGAGGCCAUCCCAAAGAGUAAGAUUAUCACCUCACAAAGUUAUUAUAAAUCUAAAACCCUUCCAACUUCUCUACAAGGCAUCAACUGUAGUAAUAUUGUAAUUAGAACUCAAAUUAUACUUUAUAGCAUAAGAGAUUUUAAGAGGUUUAUAAUCCACCAACAGUCCCCGAAAAUCUAGCGUUCUUUACAUUACCCACUUUUUUGCAAUACUGGUAGAAUGUGUACUUAAUUUUCAUAAGACUGGACCAGAAAUGGGAGUGCCCAGUCUUAGGUUUAGUUCCAAAAAGGCAACCACUCCGAACAUGCUUGUUCAAGAGAAUCAAGUGCCAAAUACCAUUUUUAGUUUCUAAGUCCCAUAACUAUUUAGCAGACAAGUUUUGUUCAUGAGUUCAGGAUUUAAAUCCACAAACCCCCUUGAUCUUUAGGUCUAAAUCAAGUGUUCUAGUUUACUAAGUGUUAUUUUUUCUUAUUGUCAUCUCCCUGCCAAACAAACCUAGCCAUGAAGAAAUUGGCUCUUGGAUGGGGUAGAAACGCAUAAGUUGAAUCUCCCCCUCUACUGUUAAAUCUUCUCUCAUAGUGAUAGUUAUUAAAUCUCUCCCCUUUUGUUGAAACUACCUUGCACGCCUGCACCACCAUAAGACCUAGCCAUACCUUCUUGCUCACCAGGUGGCGACGGUAGAGCAAUAAAGCCUUACCACACAUCGCUUGCAUCCCCACCAAAUUCUCUUAGGGAGUGGACCAAAGCAUCUAAAUACCCAAAGGUAGCAGAAGGAACAUUCUCCUUAAGUGCUUUCCUACCCCACCAACCUGGACCUCCUAGAUCAAAAACAUCCAGUCCAACCACCCAGGGCCAACUACAGAAGGUUCUAUGAUAAAGGACAAAACCCUAAAACUCACCCCCUCCUUGCUCAAUAUUUAUCAUCACAACAUCAAUGUAAUCUAAGAAAUUCACCCCAGAAAACAAGCAUAUCCUUUGUAAAAUUGAAAGGAUAGCUGGGAAAUAACCAAUUCUCAUAGCCUUUUUGACUAAAUUUCGACCAGUAACAUCUAAAUUCCAUUUAAUCACUAUAUCAUCACAAAUUUUGAUAUUGUCGGUAUCAACAUCAGAAAGAUCCAAUGACAAAUCAUCCUCAUAACAAUAUUACAAUCAAAAUCAAUGACAUGAUCAACUUCCAUUGGAAAAUCCACCGAAGACUUUUAUGAGCAUGCAACUAAGAUCUCCUAACCCUAUUUCUCGCAACUACAAUCCCCCCACUGUUAGUUUGUACAUGAGAAUGUAAAUAUUUGUAGGGAUCAUCAAUCUUACUGGAAAAUGAAGCAGCAAAACGAUCGUAGGAGUCCUCGACUCCUCCUCGGCAGCAUCCAUAAUUGACUGACUGCCAGGAAGACGCCUACUCAUCGGCGGCGCUCUGUGCAAGCGCCUGGAUCCACGUAGAACACUGGGGAACCGAGGGGAGCGACGAGACAACUGUGAAACCACCCACACAACAUUUUGUCUUGGCAGCACCCGCACAUCGUCGCCAGUCACGACGGACAUCGUCGGGUAGCGUGGCGGCGACCCCAUCGUCAUUGUCACCCCCUGCACAUCAUCCCAGACCGGAUGGGAUGAAACCCAGUCGUACGACGCAUUGCGGUACCACCGAGCGCGCCGCUCUGGAUCGUUGGAUUCCGCCUCCAUCAUUGCCCAAUAGAGGAUCUCGAGUGGGGCCUUCCAUGAGAUCCAACUUUGCUCCUCCUCUGAGGCCUCUUUAACCACCUGAUGUGAUGCCUGAUGCAUCUCCUCUGCAUCCUUGUACCGCCCACAGAUCUCGUGGAGGCUCGCCAUCUUCGCCUCGUCGCCACCUGCGAUUGCCGCCGCCAUGUGCUCCCUCACACAAAAGGCCCUUCCAUUACCGAGAUCUGAGAUGGAGGUUGGAGGGGGAGAAGCAGGGGAUCGUCGACACCCUCGUGCUACGCGUGUAGAUUUAAUGCUUGCCAAAGUCAUAGGUAUUCAUUGCCCACAUCAUGGGUUCAGUGUGGGAUCAACACCAUUGAUUUUUUCGGAAAUUAUUAUGUCUAGAUCUUGGGAAAUCAUUUAUUAGGAGCCAUCCUAUCAAGAUCCCAAUGCCCAAGUUAUACUCCACUAAAACUAGAAUUGGCAUCCGUCCAUCCACGGAACAAGCACAAGCCAACAAAAUUGCACCAAACGUGACGUUGCAUCAGUUUCAGUUUCACAGAAACACCGCCGUGGAAAAGCAAAGAAAUUAUUGGUAAAAUGAGGCAAGGAUAAAGUGGUAAACAAUGUCCGGUCCAGUUCCUGUCCGCCGCCCGCCGCACCGCAAACGCACCAUCGAGCACCCAACGUGUGCCCUAGCCGCCGAACGGGUCAGACCAACAGUCACCUUGCAAGCCGACCCACUCGCAGUCGCCCCAGCACUCGCUUAUUAACCCUGUGCACACCAGAACAAAUUCGACCAUCUUUCCUCGUCGUCAACCACGUCAGGUACCUCCCUCCGAUCCGCGUCAUAAAAAGUUAAAAACCCAUCCCUCCAAACAUUUCCUAGUCCAUCCACCGGCGCUGCUGCGCUGAGCCCCGGCCACGCAUGGAGCUGUUCGCGCACGCAAAGUAAAUUCUCCUUCCAGUUUGUACAUGUACGACAACGACUAACCUCUUUUAGUUGAGGUUUUCACUGCCCAAGUUCUCUAUUUAUAACCUGAAUGGUGAGUAGGCUCUCCACCACCAUCACCAUGACCAUGCUUAUAUGAACCACAACGGCGGAUGUAGACAAGGAUGGAUGGAUGGUCAGGUGCCUUGCUAUAUUUCAUCUGUGCAAUGUGUUGUGUUGUGUGAUAUCGUGUUUCAGCCGUGGCAUGUUUUUGUCCUGCACAUGCUUUUGGCAUUGAGGUGUUGUCAUCAUUCAUGUUUCUUGUGGGUUUAGGUUUGGAUGUUCCUGUAAGAAGGAGGUUUGGCACGCCAUGUUACGUUUUUCUUUCUUUUUACAAAAGAUUGCAUGUUUUCCUAACAUAUAUGAGGUUUCUCUGGUUCAUGUGGUUUUCUCAACUGAGAGUGCUUCGUCUGCGCGCACACUUGAGCAAGUUCCAGCUAUGGAAAGGAUAUCAAUGAUUGAUGAGGAGACGUGGCAGUUGUACACGCAUAUAGUUUGAAUCAAACAUGUGGCAGAAGAUACUACCCUUCUGGAGAAAGACCGGUAUAGCGAGCCGGCCUUGAACGACGCACUGAAUCUCGCACGGACGCCAAGCUUUCUAGAAACUAGAGGUUGGGGCGCCACCUGGUGGCGCCUCUUGAGGCGGACCUGUGCGUUCCCAACGUGAUUAUGCACAUGGUUCGACCACGGACGUUAUGUACUUGAACAUCUCAUGAGCAGAUUAAAUGCCUCACAAUUUGUGUAUGCAAUCACCAGCAAGUAAAUUAGGCAAAGAAAUGCCGCAAAGGAAUUUGCUCUCAUUUUGCUUAACUAAAACACAGCCAGGUCCAGAGAUUUACAUGCUCAUAAUUUGAAGAACCUAUUAUAUAUCAUAGCCAUGGAUGAUACAUGUUGAUAGAAAAUGACAACACAAAAGCUGCACAGAUCACAGGAUACUCAAUGCUCACUCUCCACGGAUCCAAAGCGGAUGGCAAACAUCUUCUUGAACUCAAUCGGCAAAAUCCAGAGUGUGCCAUAGGCACGACCUAUCGCUCCCAGCAUGCUCCUGCAUCUUCAUCAUGGUCACAACUACACACCAACUAUCAAGAUAUAAGAAAACCCAACUAUCUAAUCUGGAAAUCAAAAUCACAUGCACAUCAUCGUAAGAACUAAAUGCCGUGAUAGUUUGAAUUUUCAUUUUUAGCAGGGAAUGGUAGUUCUGAAUGCUUUGUGUAUUCUUAAACAGGAGGGUAACAAACACUCUUUAUUCUACCAACAGGGACUGGAUCCAGGUCAGCUGGGAGUGCCUGAUACACAUCAUAUUCUUGAGCUAAAGCUUGAUUCUCAGUAGAACUGUAUCUCCAGAAUUCAGCAAAAGAAGUUGAUGCAAACUUAGAAUGCAUAACUCAAUUGUUUCUGAUCCAGUAGCAAUGUACCCAUCAGAAAUAGGAAGUCCAACAAAUCUUUGGUCAAAGGGAAUACAUAAAUUAGUCACUAAAUUAGCCCCAGUCACACCCCCUCGGCAUGAUUGUGCACACUAAACUUGUUGUAGUAUAUGUUCACAUCUUUGAAUGACAGGUUGGUUGGCUUAUGGAGCAGAUGAGCAAGAGUGGCAUUUUACUGAUUAAAAAAAGAACACAUAGUCAUAGACCCGCAGUAGAGGAAUGUUCAUUCAUAAAGCAAGGAAGCUUAGUAGUUUCAUAUGAAGCAGAUCAAGCGUAGUAGUUUCAUAGAUGCUAACGGGUUAAUAUUAACAGACAAAGGUCGGUCUUACAAGCUGAAUGACAUAUCACCAAGACAUGACCAACGGUUGAGAUCAAGGUUUAACAAUCUCUAAAAGGUGUGAGGUCUCCAAAAGUAGAGGCGGAGUUUGUCUGAUAGUAUUAUGGUGUGUGGACAAGAGGUUCAAAGAUCAGAACUCAAAUAUCCAGGAGCAUGAGUCCGAGAGGAAAAGCUUUGGGCCAGCCAUCUAAAUUUUGAUGUACUGACAAUUGACAACCAUACACUAAUUCUAGUUGAAUGUGUUUCCUUUCUGCAUAGACUGAAGGAAAUAAAGAAGACAUACAUUAGAGAAUGUAAGGGGAGAACAAUUUGCAAACUAAGAACAACUCAAACUCUGAAACUUUAGUUAGCUGAGUAAUAAGGUAUAACAUCAUAGAUUGCUUAUCCCUGAUUAUGCCCUUACUAAACGUUUGGUACAGGACAACGCUUACCAGCAGAAGAUAAAUCAAAUCAAUGUUUUAUGACCUAAUUACUCACACAGUGUAACUUUCAUAUGUCAAAGAACAAAUAUAGAAAUCUAAAAUCUUGCACAAUAAUCAUUCAUGACGAUUAGCACAAACCUAAGUAUUUAGUGCUUUAUAUGGGCCUGGCCUUUGCCUCCCAUUUUCCCUAUGUCCCAAGGUUGUCUAUUAUCUCAGGCUGUAGGUGGGACUAGCGGUGGGCGUCCCACCACAAGCCCACAGUAUAGUUUGAUUGGAAAUAGUGGGCAUCCCAUCUAAACUUGCAUAAAUUAUGUUGGGAGAAUGCAACUUACACUGUGAACACGGUUGUAGUCAAGCUACAGAUUGCAGCUUACAGCUGCAGGUUACAAGUUAUACAUGCUACAACACUCAAGUAUAAUCAUCAGAAAAUAUCAUUGCAAACUGUACAUGCUUCAUGCAUCCAGAUUGUAGCAGUACUUGCUUCACAAAUGAACAACACUUGCUUCCNNNNNNNNNNNNNNNNNNNNNNNNNNNNNNNNNNNNNNNNNNNNNNNNNNNNNNNNNNNNNNNNNNNNNNNNNNNNNNNNNNNNNNNNNNNNNNNNNNNNNNNNNNNNNNNNNNNNNNNNNNNNNNNNNNNNNNNNNNNNNNNNNNNNNNNNNNNNNNNNNNNNNNNNNNNNNNNNNNNNNNNNNNNNNNNNNNNNNNNNNNNNNNNNNNNNNNNNNNNNNNNNNNNNNNNNNNNNNNNNNNNNNNNNNNNNNNNNNNNNNNNNNNNNNNNNNNNNNNNNNNNNNNNNNNNNNNNNNNNNNNNNNNNNNNNNNNNNNNNNNNNNNNNNNNNNNNNNNNNNNNNNNNNNNNNNNNNNNNNNNNNNNNNNNNNNNNNNNCAUAACUUUAUUAAGUAAACAUGAGUUCAUUCAGCACAUGCAUGUUGUUUCUGCUAGAAUGUCUUCUAAAUAAGUAACAUUAACAUGACCAAGGUCACUACUAAAUAAGUCACAUUAACAGGACUAUGGUAACUACUAAAUGAGUGACAUUAACAGGACGAAAGUCGUGCGCGGGUAGUGGAGAUCUGGCCGGGGCACCGGAGCAGCAGCAGUCGCAGGAGGAUCACUCACUAGAGCAGCAGCAGCAGUAGGCACCCGCUGCACAGGCGCCGGUGGUAGUACCACAGCCGUAUCCAUAGGUGCCGCCGGUCUUUAUCGACCUCACCCAGGAGGACAAUGGCGACAGCGACGGCGGCCACUAGAUCUAGGCUUUAUUUAUGUUUUUAUGUAUAAUUAAUGGACGAACAGACUUUUGGCGGCAUUUUAUAUAUGUUUUUAUUUUCUAAAUUUCAGUCAAAAUCUGAAAUGCGUCCAUGUAAUUGAGGGCACCUAGGGUCAAAAACUUGUAGAAGACAUUAUUAGAUGAUCUAAAUUUCAAGGAGGUUAUAUGGAUCAUCUAAAUCAGUUGUGAAAGUAAAUAACACUCAUAGAACACAUUAUUAGAACCUGCUUUGCUUUAUUGGGUACGAGAACAUUGUUGAAACAACCCAUUUAAGCUAACCUAAUCUACCCUGUAGAAACAUUCAUCAAUGUUGAGUUUUUAUGUCAAGAAUAAAAAUAAAUCCAUAUGAAGCUUUCUACAAUAUAGACUGUCUAUAUUCAGUAAGGGCCACAUUCAUAAGCAUGCCGAAAAAUGGUAAGAUCUAACAUGAUAUACACCAGGAUAGGAUGAUCAUAUUCUUCUACCACCACACAUUUUUUAUACUGAGAUACCAAUGUUUACUCAUACAGAACAUGUACUUUUCUGUUCAUUGUCAAAUUAUUUCACCUGCUAUGCUGCAAGUGUACUGAAAUAGCAAAAUUGUCGGUUUCAGUUGAGCACCUACGAGGCUUACUUCCUAUCACAUCGUGAAAACUGUACAUUAGAAUAUGAAAUUAGUUUUGGUAGAAAAAGGAGACACAAAUUAUUCACACAUUUUGCAAUAGUAAGCAAGUUGAAAAACAUAAUACUACAAAGAGCAUAGAAAUAUGCGUGUGCAUAUUACGAAAUUGAGGAAUAUCAUGCUGAACCUUUGAUUCAUCAAACUGUUGGAAACCUCAGUCCAGUCCUUAAACUAAGUACCCAUGAGACAUCAGAAAGGAACCAAACCAGGAAGAGCGCGCACUUCCGGGGAUGCGCGGUUGGUGCCGUGACAACGAGGCGAGGCACGAGGAGGCUGCGAGGGAGGCUAUUGCUGCGGCCGCGGGCGCAACGACCGGUGUCGGUGUCAAAACCAGCGGAUUUCGGGUAGGGAGUCCCGAACUGUGCGUCAAGGCCGGAUGGUAACAUGAGACAAGGGACACGAUGUUUUUACCCAGGUCCGGGCCCUCUCGAUGGAGGUAAUACCCUACUCCUGCUUGAUUAAUAUUGAUGAUAUGGGUAGUACAAGAGUAGAUCUACCACGAGAUCAAGGAGGCUAAACCCUAGAAGCUAGCCUAUGGUAUGAUUGUUGUAUAUGGAGUCGAUGUCCUACGGACUACAACCCUCCGGUUUAUAUAGACACCGGAUAGGGUUAGGGUUACACAGAGUCGGUUACAAUGGUAGGAGAUCUUGAAUAUCCGCAUCGCCAAGCUUGCCUUCCACGCCAAGGAAAGUCCCAUCUGGACAAGGGACGAAGUCUUCAAUCUUGUAUCUUCAUAGUCCUGGAGUCCGGCUAAAGGUAUAGUCCGACUACCCGAACACCCCCUAAUCCAGGACUCCCUCAGUAGCCCCCGAACCAGGCUUCAAUGACGACGAGUCCGGCGCACAGAUUGUCCGGCAUUGCAAGGCGGGUUCUUCUCCAAAUCCUGUGUACCUGUAGGAAUAAUGUCCGAUUUUUGUAAUGUAGUGCUCCUCGGCUUCCACGCCCAAUAAUGGCCGUCUUCCAUGUGUCAAACGAAUGCGAAAAGCCGGGGUGUUUUUACAUCCACACCCCUAGCCGCAUAAACGAGCCGCCUAUUUAACGGGAUGGGGAUUUAGGUCCAAACCACAUCUUCUCCUCUCCGCGAGUUAUCAUCAGAGCGCUUCCAGCAAAGGUCCAUUCCAACAUGACCAGCCGCCGCAGCUCCUCCCCUCGCCCCUCCAGUCCCAAACCCGGGGACUGGUAGAGUUGCACCAUCCCGCAUAGCGAGCUAGUGUCGCUUCAGGCCAAGGGAUUUCUCCCUCAGGCAUACAUGGUCCCGGUCCGAGACGGUCUCGCCACCUACAAUGGCAAAAACAAGCGGAGAGCACCCCCAAUCCUUCUAAAGGAGAGCGGGUGUGCCUCGUCCCCUAUCUAAUAAGGGGACUAGAAUUUCCAAUUCAUCCAUUUCUCCGCGGGUUUCUGGAGUUCUACGGCCUCCAGCUGCACAAUCUCACGCCCGCCUCCAUAUUACAUACUGCGGGUUUCGUCGCCCUUUGUGAGCUAUUUUUAGGCGUUGAGGCUCAUUUCGCGCUGUGGAAGAGGUUAUUCUGCCUGGUGCCCCAUUCUCAAGAGGGGUCUAUAUACCAAGUGGGCGGAGCCGAAGUAUGGCGUAUCGCCGGGACCGGAUACCUAUCUAGAACCCCAAAGAAGGCAUCCGAGGACUGGCCUUCGGAAUGGUUUUACAUAGAUGACGUCCCGCUACCGGACCCUAUCCGGAUCGGUCUCCCUGAGUUCAACAGUGCUCCAUUGAAGAAACGCUUGAGCUGGCGUUCGCGGAGCUCUCAGAGAGAAAACGACAGAGACGUCCUUUACCUGAUGGGCCGGAUAAGACUGUUGGCUCAUUCCGGACUAACCAUGAUUGAAGUCAUGACCGCAUGCAUUAUGCGGGGGGUGCAGCCGCUUCAAUAUAGAGGCCACCCCAUGUGGGAUUUCCACGGGGAGGAUGACGCCACCCGUUACGGUCGUAAGGGGACGGCCUCAGCCGCCGCCCUAGUAAAGAUCUUAUCCUCUUUGUACAAGGGAGAAAAGGAGGAAUUCCUCCGCGUCAACCCGCGGGCCGGAUUUACUAUGUACGAUCCUCCAAGUUGGGUAAGUGAACAAUUGCGCUUGCCCGUUUGUUUUAUACUCCCACGGUUAGAUAUGUAGUCUAACGACUUCAAUGCAGGAACUGCGACAGGAGGUAAAUGAUAUAAACAGCCGCCCUCCACAGCCCGAGGACCCAGAACGGUCCCUCGAUCCGGACUCCGAAGAGGAUCCGGACAUAUCGGUGGAGCUUAUCGACGGGGUGUUCCAUCAGCUAAGCAAGGACAGUACCUUGAUAGCCAUUACGGCUGAUUACCCAGGGUUAAUCCCGGCCUCCCAGGUGACAGAAACCGGAGUCUCAUUCCCUUGAGAGAGAUUCCAUUCUCACGUAUUCCGGUGUUUCUGACGACAACCGUGUUUUGCAGGGGAGAUUUCCGAGGCGGGAAGCCGAACCUGCAGCGGCUAGCCAACGAGGGGCCGCAGGGCCCCGUGGGGCAAAAAGGAAUGUAGUCCGGACUAAGAUGCCAGCGCAAAGGUAUAGCGCACCCUCUGUUUCCCUGGUGUUACUCUGUCAGGGCAUAUUAACGUUCGUGCUAUCUUCAGAACGAAGAGACCUCGCCGGACUACAUUCGGAGAGGUUUCCAAUCGCGCCUCCACUAGCCAGGCUCCAACGUCUGGCCAGGAAGCGGAGGCGAGCACAAGGCGCGCACCAGACGCUCCUCCGACAGAGGAUGCGGACAGGCUGUCUACCACAAAUUCUGAAGUGGAGAGUGCCAUGAACCACAGGCGUCACCGGACAGUUCUACGCGACGCUUGUUUCUCCCAAGAGGCUUUAGAUGCCUUUAAUUUGGGAGAUGCGUACCUCCGUGCCGCUCAAAAUGGUUUAGCCAGAGCCACGGAGCAGUAUGUAAAAGACAUACGGGUAAGAAAUUUUUGGUCAAAUAUAUAUAUAUAUAUAUAUAUAUAUAUAUAUAUAUAUAUAUAUAUAUAUAUAUAUAUACCAGUAGCCCCCGAGACUUGAAACAGUUAGAGCAACUGAUUUAAGGAUCAUUUAAUAUGUAGGUUCUUACAGAGAAGAAUACCGUACUGUCCCAGGAACUGGAAAAGUGCAAGGCCCAACUAGAGGCCACACUAGCCGCAUCAGGGGAGCCCAAAGAGACCCCCUCAGGUAAGAUACACUUUGAAAGAUUAGUAUUGUGCGGUGUGGGUGCAAAUCUGACAAAUCAUAUUGCAGAUGGCGCCAGACUCGAUCCGGAAAAGCAACAACUCUUACGCCGGCUAAAGGCCGAUGAGAGUACGUUGACAAAGGUGAGGCGAGAGAAGAAUGAUCUUCAGGAUGCCAACACCAAGCUGGACGUCGAACUUAAAGAUGUUCGUGGCCAGCUGUCGGACUCCACGAAGGAGAAUCAGCGGCUUCGACGCGGCAUAUUUAGUAAGUGCUUGAGCGAACUUUGAAAAAAGAGUUCGGCGAGGAAGUCGACUAACAGAGUAAUGUUUGUAGGUAUGCUCACAGGUCGUCCUACAGAGGAGAUGCCCGGUUCUAUGGGUGACCUUCUUCCCGAACUCUUGCAACUGCACGAGCGAAUUCGGCAGGCGAUGCGAGGCGUUGCCCAAGCCUUAUGGCCUGCCCACUCCAUGCCCGAGGGCCUUGGAGAGCUUGUGGAGAAGCUGAAGGGAGCUCGGCGGCGCUUCCGGUCGUGGAAGAUAUCGGCCUGCUGACAAGGCGCUAGGGAGGCCUGGGCCAUGGUGAAGACCCAUUUUACAAAGUCUGACCCAAACCACAUGGCCGAGGUCGGACCAGUGGGGCCUGACGGGAAGGAGAUCCCUGUAAGCUUAGUAUACGGCCAAGUAGAGUUGGCCGCGAAGUAUUCCCAGCAGGACUGUAAAUUAGACAGCCUGUUAGAUGGUAUAGAAGAGGAAUACAAUUAGUCAGAAUGACUAUGUAAUUUUGAAUUGACAUGUGUAAUGCCUUCUAGCCGGAUUGUAGAUCGUUUGUCGUUGCCGACCUUUUCGCUUCAACCUCGGGACCUGACGGUCCGGAGUGUGUCCGAAUACCAUAGCGGUUAUAUAAGAACCGGGGUAUGCGUGGAGACCAGGCGUAGGGGUCAUUAGUGCUUUAUCAGACAAGUGCCUAACUAGUUAUGUUAUAUUACAUGGUUAGUAAGAAACAUCUUCCAGAGAGAAUAGUUCCGUUAGGGGUUCCUUUCGCUGGGAGGCAUGCCCUAAAGUGCAUGUCCGGACUGCGUGACAAGACGCAGAAAAAAGCAUCCGGGGGCGCAUAAAAUGAGUAAAAAGAUCAUCUUUUAUUUCACCAACCGAAUAUUCCCUUAAAAACGCUAGCUUUCGGCUUCACCCAGUCUGAGGUACACAUCCGGCUGACCCGACAGUAACAAUCGCAGAGGUGCUCCCUUUACCGCCUAGCUGAACAAUUGGGAACGUAGGGGUAAGCACAGGAGCCAGGCAACCUAGCUUGGCCAAAACUUAAGUCAUAUCGAUGCAUAUAAUGGUGAAGAAAAAGGUACAUGCGGAAGUUUGACGCAUGUGUUGGGCGUGAAGCCCCCAGGUUUAAUGAGCGCGAGUGGCGCGUCACUAGAUGAGCCUUUAAGGGCUAUAAAAGAAAAGAGGGGAAGGAGAGAAAUGUAAGACAGAAAAAUGCAAAAAAUGGACAGAGGAAGGAGACGAACACAGAGUCCGGCGCUAGGCAUAGAAUCUUCGGAGACGGGUGGCGUUCCACGGGUUCGGCUUGAGUCGGUUAUCCGACGCAUCUCGCAGGCGGUACGCCCCACCAGUCAGGACUUGGUCGAUUAUGAAUGGACCUUCCCACUUGGGCAUGAGUUUGUCCUUUUUCUUAUCCGACAGGCAUAGAACUAGUUCGCCAACAUUGUAAUUUUUGGCCCGUACUUCUCUGCUUUGAUAUCUUCGGGCCUGCUGUUGAUAAAAUGCGGAACGGGUUUUUGCCACAUCACGCUCCUCCUCCAAGGCGUCCAAGUUGUCCUGCCGAUCGAGCUCGGCUUCUCUUUCUUCGUACAUGCGCACUCUAGGUGAGUCAUGAAUUAUGUCGCAGGGCAGAACUGCCUCUGCGCCGUACACCAUAAAAAAUGGCGUGUAUCCGGUGGUGCGAUUUGGCGUAGUCCGAAGCCCCCCAAAACACGGAGUCGAGCUCCUCUACCCAGUGCGUGUUAGAUUCCUUGAGGGGCCGCACCAGUCUGGGUUUAAUGCCGCUCAUGAUAAGACCAUUUGCACGUUCGACCUGGCCGUUGGUUUGUGGGUGAUAGACGGAAGCAUAAUCGAGCUUGAUGCCCAUGUUUUUGCACCAGAGUUUUACCUCGUCGGCGGUAAAGUUUGUACCAUUAUCGCUUAUGAUGCUGUGGGGGACGCCAUAACGGUGUACAACCCCGGAUAUGAAGUCUAUCACAGGUCCGGAUUCGGCCGUUUUAAAAGGCUUGGCUUCUAUCCAUUUGGUGAACUUAUCCACCAUGACCAGUAAGUAUUUUUUCCUAUGGGUCCCACCUUUAAGGGGUCCGACCAUGUCAAGCCCCCAGACCGCAAAAGGCCAGGUGAUGGGUAUAGUUUGGAGUGCGGUGGGUGGCAUAUGGCUUUGGUUGGCAAAAAGUUGGCAACCAGCGCAUCGUUGGACUAGGUCCUGAGCGUCUGCCCGGGCCGUCGGCCAAUAAAAUCCUGUACGGAAAGCCUUGCUAAUAAGGGACCGAGUAGCGGCGUGGUGACCACCGAGUCCGGCAUGAAUUUCAGCUAGAAGGUUCCGCCCUUCCUCUUCGGAGAUGCACCUUUGAAGGACUCCGGUAGUGCUUUUCUUAUAAAGCUCUCCCUCAUGGACUCUAUAGGCUUUAGAUCGCCGCACUAUGCAGCGGGCCUCGUUUUGGUCCUCUGGGAGUUCCUGCCUAGUAAGGUAGGCUAGGAAUGGUUCUGUCCACGGGGCGAUAACCGCCAUUAUUACGUGGGCUGAAGGUGUAAUUUCAUUGGCAGAGCCUCCAAUUAUGUCAGAUUGUUCGGCGUCGAGUGGUGCGGCUGGGUUUGGGCUGUUAUUUGCGGGUUCCCCCUCCCAUGCUACGGAUGGCUUGGACAAUCUUUCCAAAAAGAUGUUGGGGGGGACUGCAUCGCGUUUUGCUCCGAUGCGUGCCAGGACGUCCGCUGCUUGAUUGUUUUCUUGGGCUAUAUGGUGAAACUCCAGCCCUUCGAACCGAGCUGACAUUUUUAGGACGGCGUUGCGGUAAGCUGCCAUUUUUGGGUCCUUGGCGUCGAAGUCUCCAUUUAUUUGGGAUAUCGCGAGGUUUGAAUCCCCGUGUACCUCUAGGCGCCGGAUACCCAUGGAUACUGCUAUCCGGAGACCAUGUAGGAGGGCCUCAUAUUCAGUUGCAUUGUUGGAAUCCGUGUACAUGAUCUGGAGCACAUAUUGGACUGUGUCUCCUGAGGGGGACGUCAGGACGACGCCAGCCCCCAGUCCGACCAACAUUUUGGAGCCGUCGAAAUGCAUAAUCCAGUUUGAAUAUGUGCCGUACUCUUUAGGGAGCUCGGCCUCCGUCCAUUCUGCGACGAAGUCGGCCAAAACUUGCGAUUUAAUAGCUCGCCGUGGCUUAUAGGUUAUAUCAAACGGGAGAAGCUCGAUGGCCCAUUUUGCAAUCCGACCCGUUGCAUCGCGGUUGUUGAUAAUAUCAUUGAGUGGUACUCCCGAGGCUACUGUUAUGGAACACUCUUGAAAGUAGUGUCGUAGCUUCCGGGAUGCCAUGAAUACCGUGUAUGAAUUCUUUUGGUAAUGCGGGUACCGUGAUUUGCAUGGAGUGAGGACAGUGGACAUGUAGUAGACCGGCCUUUGAAGGGGGAAUUUGUGUCCAUCCGUUUCCCGCUCGACAACGAGCACUGCGCUGACCACUUGAUGUGUUGCUGCAAUGUACAAUAACAUUGGUUCGCCGGUGUUCGGCGCGGCCAGGACUGGGUUUGUUGCCAAUAUGGCUUUUAUUUCAUCAAGUCCGGCCAUGGCGGCAUCCGUCCACUCGAAGUGUUCGGUGCGCCGAAGGAGGCGAUAGAGGGGUAGUGCCUUUUCUCCCAAGCGGGAGAUGAAGCGGCUUAAAGCUGCCACGCAUCCGGUUAAUUUUUGUAUUUGUUUGAGGUCCUUUGGGAUAUCCAAUUGUGACAAAGCUCGGAUCUUGGCUGGAUUUGCUUCAAUUCCUCUACCGGAUACAAUGAAGCCCAAGAGCUUUCCGGCUGGGACGCCGAAGACGCAUUUUUCCGGGUUGAGCUUGAUGUCAUAUUUUCGGAGGUUAUCGAAUGUAAGCGUCAAGUCGUCUACUAGAGAUUCGACAUGUCUUGAUUUGAUGACCACAUCAUCCACAUAUGCCUCCACUGUUUUCCCGAUCUGGUUUGCCAGACAUGUCUGGAUCAUGCGCUGAUAUGUUGCGCCGGCGUUUUUCAGCCCGAAGGGCAUUGUGUUGAAGCAGAAUGGGCCGUAUGGUGUGAUGAAUGUUGUUGCGGCUUGGUCUGAUUCUGCCAUCUUGAUUUGAUGGUAACCGGAGUAUGCGUCGAGGAAACACAAUGAAUCGUGUCCUGCGGUGGCAUCGAUAAUUUGAUCGAUACGGGGGAGGGGGAAGGGAUCCUUUGGGCAAGCCUUGGUAAGGUCUUUAAAAUCGACACACAGGCGCUAGGAUUUGUCCUUCUUUGGUACCAUCACCAGGUUUGCUAGCCAGUCUGGAUGUUUUAUGUCUCUAAUGAAUUCAGCCUCCAAUAGCUUGGCUAACUCCUCUCCCAUAGCCUGUCUCUUGGGUUCGGAAAAACGCCGAAGGGCUUGUUUGACAGGUUUGAAACCUUUUGGGAUAUUUAAGUUGUGUUCGGCCAGCCUGCAUGGGAUCCCUGGCAUGUCUGAAGGGUGCCAGGCGAAAAUGUCCCAGUUCUCUUGUAGGAACUCUCGCAGUGCGGUGUCUAUAUCAGGGUUCAGUCAUGCCCCGAUGGAAGCUAUUUUAUUGGGGUCCGUUGGAUGGACCUGGAAUCUGACUAUUUCGUCAGCUGGCUUCAAGGAUGUGGAUUUGGAUCUCUUGUCGAGUAUCACAUCAUCCCUGUUAACCGUGGAGCGCAGCGCAGUCAGUUCCUCGGCCGCUAAGGCUCCGGAUAGUGCCUCAAGGGCUAAUGCGGUCGUCUUGUUUUCGGCGCGGAGUGCUAUGUCUGGAUCACUAGCUAGAGUGAUAAUUCCGUUCGGCCCGGGCAUCUUAAGCUUCAUGUACCCGUAAUGGGGUAUUGCUUGGAAGAUUGUGAAUGCUUCCUGCCCUAGUAAAGCGUGAUAUCCGCUUUUGAACGGGGCCACCUGAAACGUAACUUCUUCGGACCUGUAAUUAUCCGGCGUGCCGAACACCACAUCUAGUGUGAUUUUUCCUGUGCAGCGCGCUUCCUGACUGGGGAUUAUUCCUCUAAAGGUUGUGCUGCUUCGCUCGAUGCAGUUCCAGUCUAUUUCCAUUUUUUGAAGGGUUUCCUCAUAAAUGAGGUUCAAUCCACUGCCUCCAUCCAUGAGCACCUUGGUGAGGCGAAAGCCGUCCACUAUGGGACUGAGGACCAAUGCGGCUGGUGCUCGGGCUGUUCGGAAUCUAGGUUCAUCACUUGCGUUGAAGGUAAUAGAGUGUCGCUCCAUGGAUUUAUUGUUGCAACUUGAUAGACUUCGGUGAGGCUGCGGAGUGUUCUUUUUUGCAUAUUGUUUGAUGUGAAAGUCUCGAAGACUGUGAGAACGGUACUGGUGUCCUCGGGCUGGCUUUCUGCAGCCUCCAGAAUUAAGAGGUCCUCGCUAAUUUUGGCCACCUGCCGGAGUAUCCAACAUGCUCUAAGGCUGUGAGUUGGUGUGGCGUCCUCUGUACUGUGAAUUCUACAGGGUCCAUCAAGCCACCUUUCCAGUACGGUUCCAUGCCUUGUAGAGGGUUUUGGCUUUUUGGUGUUUAUCCCGGGUGUCCUAUGAUGAUGCACCCUCUUAGUUCGGACGGGAUUACUAUUCAAGGCCGGAUUAUCCCAAAAUUUUAUUUCGGUUUCCAGGAGCUUUCCAUCGCACAGUAUUUUUGUACUAUGGACGCCAAGUCAGCAAAGCGUGUAAUAUCACGACAACUUACGGUGUUAAGGAUUCCCUCGUCUGUGCAAUUACUGCAGAAAAUUGAGAUUGCGUCUCCCUCGCGGAAAUCCUUUAUCCUGUUCAUAACCAGGAGGAAUCUGGCCCAGUAAUGAUGUACUGUUUCCUCGGGCCUCUGCCUGAUUUGGGAGAGAUCGCUUAUGUUCGGGUGGGCGGGUGUCAUUGAAUCUGAAACCCCACCCAAUCCAAGAUUCGGAGGCCGAAGAGUUUCCGAACUCUGAAGUUUGGAUUCUUGGAUGUUGUCCAAUGAAUCUAGCCUGUUGCCUGAUCCUAAGCUCAGGCCUUGAGUUACAUCCUCCCCUCCGCGGGUAUCCGGCUUCGAGGGGUCGGGAAUUCGGACGUAGCUAGUCCUUAAAAUAUAUGAAGGGUUGCCGCACUGCGCCUCUACCACGGCAACGUGGUGGGUGACUUGGGGAGAGUUAAUUUCUCUUAGAUCGAGUUUAAGCCCAACCUGGUCGUAAUCCGCAGCGACCCCCGGGGCGGCGAUGCGAUCCAAGAGCUCGUUUAUGAAAGAGAGCUCCAUUGGAUCUAGCUGCUCGACGAGCUCCGAGCUGACGUGUAGGUUGCUUUUGAUGACCCAAGAGGUCACCAUCGGCGCAACAGCCGAAUAGGCGGUCAUGAGGAAACCACCUAGCCGGAGAGUUUGGCCCACAGCCAAGGCUCCCUUAGCAACGGCGCCAUCUUUAAAGACGGGAGGAGGCAUCCUUCCUGAUUGCGACGGCACAGAGGAACUCUCAAUGAAAGCACCAAUGUCGGUGUCAAAACCGGCAGAUCUCGGGUAGGGGGUCCCGAACUGUGCGUCAAGGCCGGAUGGUAACAGGAGACAAGGGACACGAUGUUUUUACCCAGGUUCGGGCCCUCUCGAUGGAGGUAAUACCCUACUCCUGCUUGAUUAAUAUUGAUGAUAUGGGUAGUACAAGAGUAGAUCUACCACGAGAUCAAGGAGACUAAACCCUAGAAGCUAUCCUAUGGUAUGAUUGUUGUAUAUGGAGUCGAUGUCCUACGGACUACAACCCUCCGGUUUAUAUAGACACCGGAUAGGGUUAGGGUUACACAGAGUCGGUUACAAUGGUAGGAGAUCUUGAAUAUCUGCAUCGUCAAGCUUGCCUUCCAUGCCAAGGAAAGUCCCAUCCGGACACGGGACGAAGUCUUCAAUCUUGUAUCUUCAUAGUCCUGGAGUCCGGCUGAAGGUAUAGUCCGGCUACCCGAACACCCCCUAAUCAAGGACUCCCUCAACCGGCGAGGACGGGUACGUGUGGAUCCCGAACGUGCACCACACCGUCGCUCGCCAAGCAAAGGGCAUGGUUGGGGCUGCGUCUCGAAUAGAGAUGUUCACCUUCCAUUCCGUCGGCAUCAAGCCGCAGAGAGAGAGCUCCUCACACAACUUGACCCUGCAUCGCUAUUCUCGCGCUGCCGUGGCCAUGGAUCUGGCCGGACCUGUUGCUUGAUCUCAGGCAAGGGGGAGGGGAGGAGGUCUCCGGUGGUGGGGAGAAGGCGAGGGGGGGAGAGAAGGGGUGGGGUGUAGGCCGUGGGGGACGGCGACAGCUGGAGGGAGAGGAGUCAACAGGCUAGGGUUGGCUGAUGCGUUUCUCUCCUUUUCUCUCUUUGUUCUACAUCACGUACGAACCAAUCGCAACUUGACGCAAAGGUGCCACGUGGACCGUGCGAGCGGACGCUCCUUCCGCGCACGUUAAUGCUUCUCGAUGGGUGAGGAAAAAAUCUGACACGGAUCCUGGUGCACAUACGAGCUUGAGUGCGCGGCUACAUGCAUGCGACGAGGCCGGCUGGAUUCGGCAUGACUGAGUCGACCCAUCGAUCGGAGAGAGUCCAGCCCAGGUGAGAACAAACCUCUGGACAAGUGAGUCGAUACCUCAUCUCCAUUUGGUGAAAGACACCGCACAACUUCAUGAUGGAGUUGCAAAUGGUGUACCACCGAUGAGUUAGCGACUUAAUACAUCUCCGACAUAUCUAUAAUUUUUUAUUGUUUCAUGUUAUUAAAUUAGCAAUCUUGGAUGCUUUCUACGCAUUUAUAUUCUAUUUUAUAUUAUUUUUUGGGACUAGCAUAUUAACCCAGUGCCCAAUGCCAGUUACUAUCUUUUGCUUGUUUUUGGCUUCUCGAAAAAUCAUUACCAGCGAGGUCCAAACGCGAUGAAACUUUACGAUGGUUUUUUCUGGACCAGAAGGGACCCUAUAACGUUCGGGAGGAUGCCAAAAGAGCUACGGGAGAGCCACAAGCUCACAGGGCGUGCCCCAGGGGGGUAGGCGCGCUCCCAAUCUUGUGGGCCCCCCGUAGCACCCCUUAACAUAAUUCCACCUCUAUAAAUUCAGAAAUAUUCCCAAACCAAUAGAGAGCCACCCGAAACACUUUUUCCGCUGCCGCAAGCUUCUGUUCUUCUGCGAUCCCAUCUGCAAGCCUUUUCCGAUACUCUGCCAGAGGGGGAAUGGAUCACGGAGGGCUUCUACAUCAUCCUUGCUGCCUUCCGAAGAUGCAUGAGUAGUUCAUCAUAUACCUACAUGUCCAUAGCUAGUAGCUAUAUGACUUCUUCUCUCUCUCUCUCUGUUCUUCAAUAUAAUGUUCUCCUCGAUCUUUUUGGAGUUCUAUAUGAUGUAAUCUUCUUUUGCGGUGUGUUUGUUGGGAUCCAAUGAAUUGUGGGUUUAUAAUCUGAAUAUUCAUGAGAAGUAAUUGAGUCUUUUUCGAACUUUUUUAUGCAUGAUUGUUAUACCUUUAUGUUUCUCUCUGAUCUAUCCCUUUGGUUUGGCCAAUUAGAUUGAUUUAUCUUUAGUGGGAGAGGUGCGUUGUAAUGGGUUCAAUCUUGCAGUGCUCUAUAUCCCGGUGACAGAAGGGGACAAGACAUGAAUUUGUAUUAUUGCCACUAAGGAUAAAACGACGGGGUUUAUUCAUAUUAAUUGGAUUUACUUUGUCUACAUUAUGUCAUCUUGUUUAAGGCGUUACUCCGUUUUAUGAACUUAAUACCAUAGAUGCAUGCUGGAUAGCGGUUAAUUGGUGGGGUAAUAGUAGUACAUGCAGGCAGGAGUCGGUCUACUUGUCAGGGAUGUGAUGCCUAUAUACAUAAUCAUUGUCUUGAAUAUUGUCAUAACUAUGCGCUUUUCUAUCAAUUGCCCAACACUAAUUUGUUUACCCACCGUAUGCUAUGUGUUCGAGAGAGAAUCUUCUAGUGAAAACUAUGGCCCCUGGGUCUGCUUUAAUCAUAUUUAAAAGAAAUCCAAAAUACCUUUGCUGCAAUUUUAUUUCUUUUAUUUUUGUUUUGCAAUUUAUUUAUCUACCAGUACAAUAUUUUAUCCUUGCAAGUAACGAGUUCAAGGUGAUUGACAACCCUCUUGCCGGUGUUGAGUGCAAGUAUUUGCUUUUGUGUGUGAAGGUGAUGUUCAUGAGGCUUUGCGUGAUUCUCCUAUUGCUUCGAUAAACGUUGGUUCUUGCUGAGGAAAAUACUUAUCUCUACUGUACUGCAUCUCCCUUAUCUUCGGGGAAAAUCCCAAUGCAGCUCACAAGUAGAAGGAAUAAUUUCUGGCACCGUUGUCCAGGAGACAUCAUCAAAAACUAUCAAGUACCUUCGCACAAACUAUCUUCUACUUGCUCUACUUUUUAUUUGCCUUUGCCUCUUGUUUUCAUCACCUCCACUUCUCUAAAAAACAAAAACACUUUGUUUUACUAGUUUUCUUGCAAAAAUCAUGUCAACACACCAAAACAGAAAGGAAAAGUAAAGACAUAGGGAUCCUUAUCCACUUGCUAAUCUUUUCAAACUUGCUGCAUGUUGAAAACCAAUAGCUAAAAAUGAAGAAGUGAUAAAAGAAAAUGCUAUCGAGAUACAUUUAUUGAAUGAAAAGCAUGAUUGCAAUUGCGUUAGUGUACAUUUUAUUAAUGUCAAUUAUGCUAAUAAUCAUGAUUUGAGUGAUAAUUAUGAUGUUUCUUACUAAGGAUGGCAAUUUUACCCAUGGGUAUGGGUACCCACGGAUACCGCACCCGCAUGGGCAGGGUAUGGGCACAAAUUUAUAUCCAUGGUAGUACCCGUACCCUACCCGUUAAGUCAUGGAUAGGGCACGGGUAUAGCCUUGUACCCAUGGAUAUACCCAUAUCCUACCUGUUUAUACUAACAUGUGGACCUUACCCGUGAAGUGUGUCGUGAGAUUGUGAGCCUUUGUUAAAGUUGUCACCAAUUGUCAAUUUGAAUUGAGAUAAUUGUCAUGUACUCAUCUAUCUGUAAUUGUGUUGAGAUAAAUAUUUUUUGUCAAAUGUGCUAUCGAUGAAUGUACAAUUGUGAAUAACUUGUGUACUGUUUGAUCUACCCAUUGGGUACACAAUGGGUGUGGGUACCCAUCGGAUAUGGGUACAGAUAAAGUUUCAUACCCAUGGGUACGGGUAUGGGUAGAAUUUUUUACCCAUUUUACUACAUGGGUAUGGGUAUGGUAUUUCUCUACCCGCUCCAUAACCUACCCAUUGCCAUCCUUAUGUGUAUGAGCCAUGUUUGUUCGUGGUCGGGAUGCGUCUACGUCCAGGUCAAAUCCAACUCGAACUGUACACUGACGGAGCUACAAACGAGACCCCUGAUUGCUGACGCGUCAGCAUCUAGUAGUACUCAUCGUUAUAAUCGAGAGGCAAAAUAUCCUCAAUACAAGGGGACCUUGGUUGAGCCACACUGCCGUGACACAUUCCCCACAACUAUAAUUUGUUAGCGAUCGACCACAUUAUUUUGUGCAUGUCGAAUCUUCUGAGGAAUAAACUCCUUGUCGGAACACAAAGCGUUUACGAGAUGCCGAGUGGGAGAGACCUUCACCCGAGAAGACUGCUAAUCUCUCUGAGGAUUCAGACUGCACAAUGACAAGAAAGUCCGUAUGUUGAAAAGCAAGAGCCAUACCUUGCAUGAUCGCAUGUAAAUUGACCUCCAGCGCCUCAUUGCAAUUAAAGAUAUAGCGCUAGGCUCAAAAUAUGACCGAACCAUCUUCUCUUUUCAGUAUCAUGCCUGCCGCAGCUGUGCCAUCUGCUGAAAACAAGGAACCAUCAACCGACAGCGCGACGUAGCCAGCCGAAGGCCGAUGCCAAUGUAGGCGUUGCGCAGACGCAACACUCUCUUGGAUGUAAACCAACUCACAUGCGCGCAUCUUGCCUUUAAAUAUUUCCUUCAAGCAAUACUUGUGAGAGUAAACAAGGGACAUCAAAUAGCUAUCAAGGAAUUCCACUGUAGCCACCACUGGAGGCGUCUCUUUGCCAUAGCACAAGUCAUUCUGCAGCUGCCAAAUGCACCAAAUCAACGUAAUCACCAUUUCCUGCAUGGUUGCUGUGCAAUUCAUUAGAACAUUCAGCAGCCAAUCAUUCUCACUGUCUACUAAGAGUACAUCACGGGGCAAGGUCCAUAUAGCACACAUGUGCUCCCAAAUAUUCCGAGCAUGGCAACAGGAAACCAAUGCAUGGAAGGAACUUUCAUCUUCGAUACCGCACAAUGUACAUAUGUGAUAACCCAUAAGUAUAGGGAAUCAAUUGUAGCCUUUUUUAUAAGUAAGAGUGUCGAACCCAACGAGGAGCUAAAGGUAGAAUUAAUAUUCUCUCAAGUUCUAUCGACCAUCGAUACAACUCCACACACGCUUAACAUUUGCUUUACCUAGAACAAGAAUAAAACUACUUUUUAGGUGUAAUAGGAUAAGUUUGUAAGAAUAAAGUAGAAGUACUUAGCGGGAUAAUAAAACUUUAGUUUGUUUUAGUAGAGAGCAUUUUGUAACACAAAGAGAAAGAUUGUCCAUAGGCAAUUGAAUGUAACACAAUAUAUACUUAUCAUAUGCAAUGAGGGAGAGGCAUGCUCUAACAUACUUUCCGUACUUGAAUCACAUGUUCUUAUUAUUGGAACUCUAGCAAGCAUCCGCAACUACUAAAGAUCAUUAAGGUAAAACCCAACCAUAUCAUUAAGUAACAAGUCCUAUUUACUCUCAUAUGCAACAACCCCCUUACUCGGGUUUAAGUUUAUGUCACUCUUGCAACCCACUAUAAGCGAAUCAUUAAUGUAUUGCAACACCCUACAACGCUAAUCCCACACGCUUGCGUGACAUGGAGGGCGUCAUAGGACGGCACCAUAUUAACAUUAAACUCAUAUCAUUCAAACCAUACCACAAUUAACCCGUAGGACAAAAGAAAUCUACUCACAUUAUAUGAUUGCCACACAUCAUUGGAUAAUAACAUAUAGUAUUAAGCACCAUUUUCAAGCACAUAAUUACAAUGGGAAUAGAGAGGGUACACCACUGCAUAGAGUGGGAGAGAGUUGGUGAUAACGGCAGCGAAGUUGUUGGUGUAGAUCGUCGUCAUGAUGGUUUCCCCGGCGGCGCUCCGGCGACACCGGAAGAUGAUGGGGGAGAGCCCCCUCCUUCUUCUUGCUUGCCCCCCCCCCCUAGAUGGGAGGAGGGUUUUCCCUCUAGUCCAUGGUUGCCAUGGCUCCGGGAGGGUAGGAGCCCCUCCGGGAUUGCAUCUCUCACUGUGUUUCUCUUCUAUUUUUUGUCUAUUUUCGGACGCCUUCGCCGUAUUUAUAUUCCCGAAGAUCCAUAACUCUAUUGGGAUGAAAUUUUGAGGGGAUUUUUGUGUGGAAAUUAUCUUUCUUGCGGCGAAAGAAGGGCUCCAACAAGGUAAGAUGGAGUCACAAGGCAACACGGCGUGCCCUAAGGUAUCGUCUUGCGUUGAUUCUUCUCCCCGAAAAUCACAAAUAUUCCACAAAAAACCUCCAUAAAAUUUUAUCACGUUUGUACUUCGUUUGAUAUGGAUAUUCUGCGAAACAAAAAAAACAUGCAAAAUAGGAACCGACACGAGGCACUGGAUCAAUAUGUUAGUCCCAAAAACAAUAUUAAAUGUUGCCAAAAGUAUAUAAUAGUUGUAGAACAUAGGCAUGAAAUAAUCAAAAAAUAUAUACGACAGAGACUUAUCAAGGUUCCACGUCUAGCCAGGUGCCGGUUUGCCUUGUCGAACGUGGCCCAGACACCGACAUCCACGUAGUGAUCUUCAUCUUUUGCGGUACAACUGCUUUCCAAAUACAGUUCCAUAACGAUCGCUCACCAUGCGGUGAGCUACUUGAUGCGCCCCCCGAGAACGACUCAUCAUGUUCAACUGUCGCUAAUCUAUAUGCACUCUUCAGACCGUCCAUAGUGGGAGUAACUUCAACAGUAACAUAUAUAGGGUUCAACUCAACAAAUUUACUUAUGUGGCAAUGAUUUAAUGAGGAGAGAGAUGAUUUUAGUAACAUAGCUAGUUAUUCACACUAUAGGUAACACCACACAUAUCAAGACAAGAUGAGUCUAUAAUCUAAUAAAAUAAGUGUUGUAUGACACCACACUUAUGUUACGCCCCAUUAUGGGUAGUCUCACUGUAAAAUUUCCAUAUUUCUCAGGAUUCCUAGCGAAGAAGUAGCUUUGUUGUCUUGGAGAUGUUCGAACUUUUAGAAUCUCCUGAACACCAUCACACAAAAAUGAAUAUUAAGCAUGUCAAUGUUCCAGCCUCCGUUAUCAUCCAAGAAAUCGGCCACCCGGUUAAAUCGACAAUUACGAUUUGGAGUAACUGGGCCAAAAGAGGAACCCCUAGGAAUCCAUGGAUCUCGCCAAGUUCUGAUCAUGGCGUGAUUCCCAACCCUCCAAAUAAUGCCCUUCUUCACCAGCUCCAAUCCCUGCUCAAUCCCCUUCCAAACAGUCGAUGAGUUACAUGAAAAAUAGUGUCCAAUAGGUUCCCAGUCGGACAAUAUUUUGCAUGGAGGAGAUGAGCACACAAACAGUUAGGUGCAUCCAGCAAACCGCCACGCUUGUUUAUCAAGUAAUGCUUGGUUGAACGCCCUCAUAUCACGGAAGCCCAUACCACCUUUAGACCUGGGUAAUAUCAUUUUAUCCCAACUAAGCCAGGCCAUCUUAUGCUUCCCCUUCUCGACCACCACCAAUAUUGCCUCAUCAAUCAUGUAAGAUCAGCACAUACCGAGGCAGGAAGACGGACCACACUCAUCACAUAUGAAGGGAUAGCUUGGGCCACCACCUUAAUAAGAAUCUUUUUAUUUCCAGAAGACAAAUAUUGUUCACUCCAAUCCAAUAGAGAUUUACUCAACACCACUUGAACGGUUUCAAAUCUACCCUUGUGCAUCCUCCCUUCCGACACUGCAAAGCCCAAGUACUUAGGCUCAAAAACUUCAUUUGUGACACCUAGAAUAUUUUUGAUCUCCAUGAAAAUCGCAGGUAAGGAAAUUUUCAGAAAAAAGAAUGGAACACUUGGUAGGGUUAAUGUGUUGGCCCAUGCUGAGGCAUAAGUGCUCAAAACAUCCUUAACCAAACAUGCCUGUUGCUCAGAAGAUUGAAAGAAUAACAAUGAGUCAUCCGCAAACAGUAGAUGUAAAAUAGUUCGCGCCCUUCGGCAUAUUUUCAAUCCUUCCUCCGCCAUGGACUUGCUGAUCAGUGCAGACAAUGCGUCAGCAACAAAGAGAAAUAAAAACAUGGACAAAGGAUCACCUUGGCGAAGUCCCUACGAAGGGGUAAAAGACUCUAGUAAUUUUCCAUUAAACUUUAUGCAAUAUUUAUGUGAAGUAACACAAGCCAUAAUACGAGAAAUCCAUGAUGUAGCAAAACCCCACUUACAUAGGGCCUACACAAGAAACACAUAGUCAGCGCGAUCAUAUGCCUUUAAUAGGUCAAGCUUGUAAGCACAUAAUGCCAGAUUCUCCUCUCUCAGAGAUAGAAUAUGAUGAAUACACUAAAAAACAAAGAUGGAAUUAUCUGAAAUAAGUCUACCUGGAAUGAAAGCACUUUGGUUUCCAGAGAUAACAUACGUCAUCGAAGGCCUUAGCCUAUUCACCAUGCAUUUUGACACAAUUUUGUAAACCACAUUGCAAAGACUGAUGGGACGAAAAUCAUUUAUGUCCUUAGGUUGUGGAACCUUUGGAAUUAGAACUAUCGUCGUAUCAUUCACUCCCAUAGGCAUAAUCCCUGUCACAAAAAACUCCUGAACAAUCGCCACAACAUCUGAUUUAUGCAUUGCCUAGUUAUGCUGAUAGAGACGAGCUGGAAAACCAUCCGUACCUGGAGCCUUAAUAGGGUCGAUCUGGAAAAGAGCAUCAGAGAUCUCCUUCUCUGAGAAAGGUGCGCACAAGACCUCGUUCAUCUGCAUUAUCUCAUUAGGCUCAAUACACUCUAAAACUACCUCUAGGGAGAGGGUUGGGUCGUUGGUACAAACCUCCUUGAAGUAGGAGGCCGCCAUUCGCUCCAUCUUCUAAGGAACAAAGCACCAUGUCCCAUCCAAGUUGCCCAAGCACCGAAUAUAAUUCCUCGCUCGCCGAACAACAUGACAGUGGGGUAUUUGGUAUUUCACUCCCCUUCUUUCAGCCAUGUGAUACGUGAGCAUUGCAACCAUAACAUUUCCUCACGGUAUAAUAACUCAUCAAGUUGGUUUAUCUUUUUCUGCAUACUCAUACGAUCUGCUCCAUUAAACUUUGUUGUCUCUAGCUCACCACAGAGCUUCUCUAUGUCAUUAUUGAUAGGAGCAAAAUUCUUUCGGCUCCAAUCCUUCAAACUAUGCAUAAGUGCUCACAACGACUCCGCUACAGAGGAGUAUAGUGGUAUCCCUAGCCCACCGGGGUUCAAGUCCUGAUACUCGCAUUUAUCCUAGAUAUAUUUCAGGAUUUCCGACGAUGCGCGUUCAGUGAGAUGUUCCCAUUGACUACGAGGCGUCUAUGAUGACUUUGUAAAAUCUCAAGAUAAUAUGCGACUUAGUCUCCCGGAUGUUCUCAUAACGGUAGAAUGUGUGCAUGCGCGUUCAUAGGGGUGAGUCUAUGCGCAUAUAUAUGAGCGCUUAUGUUGUACUGUGUUAAAACAAGUACUCAUCGCCAACCGACUAUAGCAGUACCAUAGCACGCGUUUUUAGCGCCGGUGGUUCAACCUGUCGAUUGUACAAUGCGCGGAUCAUUCCGUGCUCGGGCCUGCACUGAUCGCACAUGCUCAUCAGAGAGUACAAUACCAUAGGAUCCACAUCAUGGUUUCCCAACAUUCAAAUUCUACGGUCUCAUCGAUUAUUUCGAUUAUUUCCUACUAUAUGUGGGCUUGAGAAAUAGCGUUUACAGGGGCCUUCGCACCCCACACACAGAGUAGUAUAUCAUGUUCUUUCACAUGUUUUACCAUUAAAAUAAAUCAUUUGGUUCGAUCGAUCACAAGCCCCUAAUGCUGAAUUGCAAAGUGACUAAACAUGCAACAAAUCACCAAACUCCAAUUUAUUAUUACACACCAAAGGCGCACAACAGUUUAACUGAAGAAUGAUACUAAAAAUUAAGUCUGAUAGGUGGAUCAUCAAAGGAGAAUCAACGUAUCCAAGAGCAAGGCCAACAUAGGAGUGGUGCACCACGCAAGGGACAUAGCCAGUCGAGGAAAUUCGGCCAGUGAUCCUCAGAAGAACCCCCAAAUGAUGCCACCCCCACGCUGCACGGUAGGCUUCACCUGCCACCUACUCCAUGACUUUUGCUCCUAGCGUCAACACCCUUUGAU